GCGCUUUUAUUUUGACACGCGCCCAUCCCCCCACAUCUCACGGUCGGAGUCAGUUUCACAGAGCAGCGCAGGAGGACGACAGACACAUAAAGAACAUUAACAGUUUAGGGCAAACGUUUCCCGCGCAAGUUUGAAUCUCUCUCAGUCAGUCAGGGGGAGAUUAACUGACUGACUGUCUACACGCCACCAAACAGUCAGUUAUACAGAAACCUUUUUAAGUUUAGUUUGAAUCUCUCUCAGUCAGUCAGGGGGAGAUUAACUGACAGACUGUAUAACGUUACACGCCACCAAACAGUCUUACCAAGAAACCUUUUACAGUUUAGCACAAAUGUUUCCUGUGGAAGUUAGAAUCUCUCUCAGUCAGGGGGGAGAUUGACUGACAGACGGUCUACUUGCCACCAAACAGUAAUUUACCCUGAAACCUUUUACAGUUUAGCACAAACGUUUCCCG